rnacentral:rRNA from 1 species
UACAGAGGGGGCAAGCGUUAUUCGGAAUUAUUGGGCGUAAAGGGCGCGUAGGCGGCUUGGCAAGUGGAUGGUGAAAUCCCUCGGCUUAACCGAGGAACUGCCGUCCAAACUGCUUCGCUUGAGACCGGGAGAGGUGAUUGGAAUUCCCAGUGUAGCGGUGAAAUGCGUAGAUAUUGGGAGGAACACCAGUGGCGAAGGCGGCUCACUGGACCGGUACUGACGCUGAUGCGCGAAAGCGUGGGGAGCAAACGGG